GCAGCUAGUUUGCCUCACCUCUUGAGAGAGUCCAUGUAUGCUCAAACAGAAAGCUGAGAGAGGCUCCCUUUAGAUACAUCAACUGAGAGUCAGGGGGGUCCAGCUAAAGGGAAAAACAUAGGGUUAUAUGGUCAACAGAUCCGCCUGCGAUGUCACCCAACGACCACCAACAGCAAGACAGCUCAGUAAAUCAUGUUUGGUGGGAAUGCCGUGACCUGCUGUACCAUGUAUCUUGGACUGCGGAGCAUGCUCUGUGAAGUCUUCAGAAUAGAGGGCGGCAUACCAAGAUCAUACUCAGACAGAACACAGUUCAUUGAGCACCCUGCAGAUUCACUUGAAAGAGGGACCACACCUUUAGGAACAGAAAAUACUUAUGGAAAUGCAAAUAGAAUAUUAUUAGGACGAUAGUAAAGGCAGAAUUUGAUGAUGA